rnacentral:rRNA from 2 species
UAAGAGGUCCCGCCUGCCCUGUGACUAUAAGUUUAACGGCCGCGGUAUCUUAACCGUGCGAAGGUAGCGCAAUCACUUGUCUCUUAAAUAGCGACCUGUAUGAAUGGCAUAACGAGGGCUUAACUGUCUCCUUUCUCAAGUUAAUGAAAUUGACCUCCCCGUGCAGAGGCGGGGAUAUAAACAUAAGACGAGAAGACCCUAUGGAGCUUUAGGCACUAAGGCUGCCCACGUAAAAACCUCCUAUAAAAGAAUAUAACUUUGUGGAGCCAGCCUAAUUGCCUUUGGUUGGGGCGACCGCGGGGAAACACAAAACCCCCAUGUGGAAUGGGGUCAAACCCUAAAGACGAGAGCUCCCGCUCUAAUAAACAGAAAUUCUGACCUUACUGAUCCGGUGACCGAUCAACGAACCGAGUUACCCUAGGGAUAACAGCGCAAUCCCCUUAUAGAGCCCAUAUCGACAAGGGGGUUUACGACCUCGAUGUUGGAUCAGGAUAUCCUAAUGGUGCAGCCGCUAUUAAGGGUUCGUU